rnacentral:tRNA from 1 species
AUUUAAAUAGCUUAUAUUUAAGAGCGUGACACUGAAGAUGUUAAGGAGAUAUUUUUUGUCUUUAAAUA